rnacentral:lncRNA from 1 species
UUGUUGGUUUUCUCCUAUCUUUUUAAUUAUUUGUUGUCUAGUGUAGGAGGUUCUACCUGUUAUGGUUUUUAUAGGCAUUUUUUUUUUUUUAAUGUUUGGCAAGGUAUUUCCUUAGUUCGUUUAGCCAUGAUGUAGAAGUUUAUAUUUUACUCCCUUAGAUGCUUUUGGAAAUGUUUUGUUAGACAUCCAAAAAGUAUACACCUUAGAUAGAGAUAGAAAUAAGAGAGAUUGAUACGAUAGAAAUAGAG